UCGUAACAAGGUUUCCGUAGGUGAACCUGCGGAAGGAUCAUUACAGAAUGAAAGUGCUUAACUGCAUUUUUUUACACAUGUGUUUUUCUUUUUUUUUGAAAACUUUGCUUUGGUGGGCCCAUGGCCUGCCAGAGAUUAAACUCAACCAAAUUUUAUUUAAGUCAACUGAUUAACUAAUAGUCAAAACUUUCAACAACGGAUCUCUUGGUUCUCGCAUCGAUGAAGAACGCAGCGAAAUGCGAUAAGUAAUAUGAAUUGCAGAUAUUCGUGAAUCAUCGAAUCUUUGAACGCACAUUGCGCCCUUUGGUAUUCCAAAGGGCAUGCCUGUUUGAGCGUCAUUUCUCCCUCAAACCUUCGGGUUUGGUGUUGAGCGAUACGCUGGGUUUGCUUGAAAGAAAGGCGGAGUAUAAACUAAUGGAUAGGUUUUUUUCCACUCAUUGGUACAAACUCCAAAAUUCUUCCAAAUUCGACCUCAAAUC
rnacentral:misc_RNA from 1 species